rnacentral:rRNA from 1 species
AGGACGAACGCUGGCGGCGUGCUUAACACAUGCAAGUCGAGCGGUAAGGCCUUUCGGGGUACACGAGCGGCGAACGGGUGAGUAACACGUGGGUGAUCUGCCCUGCACUCUGGGAUAAGCCUGGGAAACUGGGUCUAAUACCGGAUAUGACCUGCUCUCGCAUGGGGGGUGGGUGGAAAGAUUUAGUCGGGUGCAGGGAUGGGGCCCCGCGGCCUAUCAGCUUUGGUUGGGUGGGGUAAUGGGCCUACCAAGGCGACGACGGGUAGCCGACCUGAGAGGGUCGACCGGCCACACGUGGGACUGAGACACGGCCCAGACUCCUACGGGAGGCAGCAGGUGGGAAUAUGCAC